GAACCAGCUCCUUCUGGGGUAAGAGGCUGAGAAAUCAUCCCGACAUCACUGCAACCAUGAUUUCACCAGGAUAAUGUACUGCAAGGUUAUUGUCAUAUGAAAACUCUACUCCUGGAAAGAGGAAGUCACUUACAAGACUUUGAUCUAGGAUGAUCAUUCCCACAAACCUGUGACAAGUGGUGGCAGUGUCCCCCAAGUGGAGCUCAUGGCAUGCUCAGGGGCUACCUCCUCUGCAGUGUCCUGUGUUACCUCCUCAGUGGCCCGAGUGCAGGGCAUACCUGUGAGCCAGCAGAAAAGCACACACCAAGAAAAUACAAACCACUGAGAGCUGUUUGGAUCUUGCUGAUCUGAUGCCUGGAAUACCUCGCUGUCAGCCUGAAGAGCGCUCUGGCACAGGAGCCGGUGUGAUGCCAGCUCCCAGAGCACAGCUGCCCUCUCCUCCCGCCGCCACGCGAUUCAUGAGCUUUCACAUCCCUGCCGUGAGCCUGUUCAUCCAGCACCUUGCUCCAGCCACACCACGGGGGAGGAUUUAUGGUUCUUACAGAUCAAUUUCAUUAUCCCAGGAGGAAAAUCAGCAUCUUGUUAUGGAUAAAAUGACAAUAAAUGAAAUGACCAUUAAUUUACGAUCUUGCCACACAGUGGCACUCAAACA